UGAUAUUAGACCGGGUGUGGAGUUGGGUGAAACCUGCCUCCAACAAUAGCCCUCUCCUAGAGUCAUGCGUGUUUCAGGUUGCCAGACAGUCUAGUUGUUAUCGUCAUGGUGCAUACGAAUGCUACUAUUAUCAACCUUUCUCAGAGGGCAGCCGAGACUGACAGGAGGAGAGAGGAAACGGCCAAAUCUGCUCAGAAUGCAGUAACUCUAAGGCCGGCUUCCGAUGUGACAGUUUGGGGAGUUACUUUUGUGUGUAUGUGUAUAAGUGUAUGUAUCUCAUUUCAUUGAUCAUGCAUUUAGGCAUUACUUCAAUGAUAUGUCCACUUAAAUGUAAUGAUAAAAGUGGCAUGAAAGUGGCAAGAUCUUAAACAGUUUGCCCCACCACAGAAGAAAGCGAAGAGAGUGAAGAAGUCUCUUUCCUGCUUCUUUCUAAUUCACUAACUUCACAUGUAAUUUUAUAUGCAUGUAUAUUUCCUUUGUUAGAAUCAUAUGCAUGUAAUAACUCUUUCACUAAAUUUUGUUUGUCUCUCCGAAUGAUUCAUUAUUAUUAGA